GGGGAUGAUCCGGUUUCGACGGGAAUAUCGGAAAAUGGAUAAGCGAGCCGCAGACCCUGAACUGCGUAUCAACGGGGAAAAACAAUAACUGACAAUAGCGAUUUCGCUUUCGCGGCUUAAUGCCGCGCGUCAGCCCUGACCGCCUGCAGAUCAGGUAACUGGCGUCAGAAUUGCAGGGAACGAGUAUCGGCUAAGCUUUGCGCCGGUAUCCGUAAUCAUGAAGCUACUUUUCCGGCAGUUUUUCCGUGAACGGCCGUGAAAGGGAAAUCAAAGCACGGAAUGCGCUCGGAGAAAGUCCAUUGGACGGAUUUUCGGACAGGGGUUCAACUCCCCUCAUCUCCACCA
rnacentral:tmRNA from 1 species